GACAGAGGUCCCAAGCGUUAGGCGGAAUCACUGGGCUUAAAGCGUGUGUAGGCGGACUUCUAAGUACCUUGUGAAAUCCCACGGCUCAACCGUGGAACUGCUUGGUAUACUGGUUGUCUUGGGCCAUCUAGGGGCUAGCGGAACAAACGGUGGAGCGGUGAAAUGCGUAGAUAUCGUUUGGAACGCCAAUGGUGAAAACAGCUAGCUGGGGAUGUGCCGACGCUGAGACACGAAAGCCAGGGGAGCGAACGGG
rnacentral:rRNA from 1 species